rnacentral:rRNA from 2 species
GAGUAAUGUCUGGGAAACUGCCUGAUGGAGGGGGAUAACUACUGGAAACGGUGGCUAAUACCGCAUAACGUCGCAAGACCAAAGAGGGGGACCUUCGGGCCUCUUGCCAUCAGAUGUGCCCAGAUGGGAUUAGCUAGUUGGUGAGGUAACGGCUCACCAAGGCGACGAUCCCUAGCUGGUCUGAGAGGAUGACCAGCCACACUGGAACUGAGACACGGUCCAGACUCCUACGGGAGGCAGCAGUGGGGAAUAUUGCACAAUGGGCGCAAGCCUGAUGCAGCCAUGCCGCGUGUAUGAAGAAGGCCUUCGGGUUGUAAAGUACUUUCAGCGGGGAGGAAGGUGUUGUGGUUAAUAACCGCAGCAAUUGACGUUACCCGCAGAAGAAGCACCGGCUAACUCCGUGCCAGCAGCCGCGGUAAUACGGAGGGUGCAAGCGUUAAUCGGAAUUACUGGGCGUAAAGCGCACGCAGGCGGUCUGUCAAGUCGGAUGUGAAAUCCCCGGGCUCAACCUGGGAACUGCAUUCGAAACUGGCAGGCUUGAGUCUUGUAGAGGGGGGUAGAAUUCCAGGUGUAGCGGUGAAAUGCGUAGAGAUCUGGAGGAAUACCGGUGGCGAAGGCGGCCCCCUGGACAAAGACUGACGCUCAGGUGCGAAAGCGUGGGGAGCAAACAGGAUUAGAUACCCUGGUAGUCCACGCCGUAAACGAUGUCUACUUGGAGGUUGUGCCCUUGAGGCGUGGCUUCCGGAGCUAACGCGUUAAGUAGACCGCCUGGGGAGUACGGCCGCAAGGUUAAAACUCAAAUGAAUUGACGGGGGCCCGCACAAGCGGUGGAGCAUGUGGUUUAAUUCGAUGCAACGCGAAGAACCUUACCUGGUCUUGACAUCCACAGAACUUUCCAGAGAUGGAUUGGUGCCUUCGGGAACUGUGAGACAGGUGCUGCAUGGCUGUCGUCAGCUCGUGUUGUGAAAUGUUGGGUUAAGUCCCGCAACGAGCGCAACCCUUAUCCUUUGUUGCCAGCGGUCCGGCCGGGAACUCAAAGGAGACUGCCAGUGAUAAACUGGAGGAAGGUGGGGAUGACGUCAAGUCAUCAUGGCCCUUACGACCAGGGCUACACACGUGCUACAAUGGCGCAUACAAAGAGAAGCGACCUCGCGAGAGCAAGCGGACCUCAUAAAGUGCGUCGUAGUCCGGAUUGGAGUCUGCAACUCGACUCCAUGAAGUCGGAAUCGCUAGUAAUCGUGGAUCAGAAUGCCACGGUGAAUACGUUCCCGGGCCUUGUACACACCGCCCGUCACACCAUGGGAGUGGGUUGCAAAAGAAGUAGGUAGCUUAACCUUCGGGAGGGCGCUUACCACUUUGUGAUUCAUGACUGGGGUGAAGUCGUAACAAGGUAACCGUAGGGGAACCUGC